UACGUAGGGCGCAAGCGUUGUCCGGAAUUAUUGGGCGUAAAGAGCUCGUAGGCGGUUUGUCGCGUCUGCUGUGAAAAACCUAAGGCUCAACCUUGGGCUUGCAGUGGGUACGGGCAGACUAGAGUGCGGUAGGGGUGACUGGAAUUCCUGGCGUAGCGGUGGAAUGCGCAGAUAUCAGGAGGAACACCGAUGGCGAAGGCAGGUCACUGGGCCGCAACUGACGCUGAGGAGCGAAAGCGUGGGGAGCAAACAGG
rnacentral:rRNA from 1 species